GGUCUGGUGGCGAGUGGCGAACGGGUGAGUAAUGCAUCGGAACGUGCCCAACUGUGGGGGACAGCUCGGCGAAAGCCGGAUUAAUACCGCAUACGAUCCACGGAUGAAAGCGGGGGACCUUCGGGCCUCGUGCAGUUGGAGCGGCUGAUGUUAGAUUAGGUAGUUGGUGGGGUAAAGGCUCACCAAGCCGACGAUCUAUAGCUGGUCUGAGAGGACGACCAGCCACACUGGGACUGAGACACGGCCCAGACUCCUACGGGAGGCAGCAGUGGGGAAUUUUGGACAAUGGGCGCAAGCCUGAUCCAGCAAUACCGCGUGCAGGAAGAAGGCCUUCGGGUUGUAAACUGCUUUUGUACGGAACGAAAAGGUCUGGGUUAAUACCCUGGGCUCAUGACGGUACCGUAUGAAUAAGCACCGGCUAACUACGUGCCAGCAGCCGCGGUACUACGUAGGGUGCAAGCGUUAAUCGGAAUUACUGGGCGUAAAGCGUGCGCAGGCGGUUAUGUAAGACAGGCGUGUAAUCCCCGGGCUCAACCUGGGAACUGCCUUUGUGACUGCAUAGCUAGAGUACGGUAGAGGGGGAUGGAAUUCCGCGUGUAGCAGUGAAAUGCGUAGAUAUGCGGAGGAACACCGAUGGCGAAGGCAAUCCCCUGGACCUGUACUGACGCUCGUGCACGAAAGCGUGGGGAGCAAACAGGAU
rnacentral:rRNA from 1 species